UACAGAGGGUGCGAGCGUUAAUCGGAAUUACUGGGCGUAAAGCGCAUGUAGGCGGAUAUCUAAGUCGGGUGUGAAAUCCCUGGGCUCAACCUAGGAAUUGCAUUCGAUACUGGAUGUCUUAGAGUAUGGUAGAGGAAAGUGGAAUUCCCGGUGUAGCGGUGAAAUGCAUAGAUAUCGGGAGGAACACCAGUGGCGAAGGCGGCUUUCUGGACCAAUACUGACGCUGAAGUGCGAAAGCGUGGGGAGCAAACAGG
rnacentral:rRNA from 1 species